GGGUUCGCUUCAGCAGCACAUGUACUAAGGUUGCAAGGACACAGAGAAGAUUAGCAUGUCUGCUGCACUAGGACAACACAUUCGCAAUAAGCCUGCAUCCCUGCAUCA
rnacentral:snRNA from 1 species